GGUUGGGUCGGUCCCUUUAGGACAGAGCUAUAAGGAGGGGGAGCCACUGUGUGAGCAAGAGAUUUGCAUGAAGGGGCCAUUCUUCAGCUCUGGGGAUUUAAGAGAGAAUCAGAGGGUUCCUGGAAGAGAGACGUGAUCCUCUGGAUUCUCACCAUGGCCUGGGCCCCUCUGCUCCUCGCGCUGCUCACUUACUGCAUUGGUUUCAGUUCCCAGCAGCUCCAGUCGCUGAAGGUGUCCGAGUUAGUGGCUCCUGGAGGGACCGUGACCCUCUCCUGCAGCCUGAGCACUGGGGCCCUCACUGAUAAUAACUACCCGCUCUGGGUUCAACAGAGAAUGGGGAAAGUUCCCCAGCUGAUCAUGCACCAUACCAGUACCAGGCCCUCCGGGAUUCCAGCGCGUUUCACUGGCUCCAGAUCGGGUAACACCAUGUCCUUGACCAUCACGGGAGCCCUAGCAGAGGACGACGCUGAUUAUUACUGUUCUGUGUGGACUGGGAGUGCUCUUCACAGUGGUACAAUCAGAUGGGGAAGUGAUACAAAAACCUCCCGCCCCACUUCUGCCCUGCUGGGAGCUGUGGUGGCUGCAGAGCCCAGGGGAUAAGUGAGGUAUUUUGCAAAGAUGAGCAUCUCCCCCUGUGAAUUCCACCUCUUCCCUCUCUGUGCAGGGUUUCCCAGCAUCAUCCCAGCUGAUUGCCACAGUUAGCUAGAAAGGAUAAGAUAUUGUCUCACCCACCUUGUCUCCCUAAUAUCCUGGGACCAACAUGGCUGCAACCCAGCAAACAACAGUUAGAAGAAGCAGGCGGGUGGAGUGAUAGAGAGGAAAGAGAAUCGUAAAAGGAAAGAGAAGGAGCAGGAGCCGUUAGAUGAAAUUCCAUCUCUGGGGCAGCUCCAGUUUCUCCAUUCCCCACCCUUUUCCCCCUCUACUUGGCCGUCCCCCUACACAGCAGCUGUCGGGGCGCUGGCUGGCUGGCAGCAUCCCGCUCCCUCUUGACGUCCAUUCUUUCUUCAUGAAGAAGGUCAGGCAGUGAGUGAUGCCCUGACUCCCCUCUCAGCUCUCUCUGGUUGGGGCUGGGUUUGUGACGCUGGGUGGCCAAGCCCCAAUUGAAGUUGGCUUUUACUCAUUGAAGGGAUGAUUCUUCGUCACCCCAGAGGGGUGCAGAGUCCUGACAGGAGACCCAGGGAGAUCCUGUUGCAUGGAGGUGGCAGGGUGCAGGGAGCCUGCACAGAUACAUUCCCCACAGCCCCUGUGUACCUCCAUCCCAGCAUGCAGGGGAGUUUCAGGUACAGGAGGAAGCCAGUGGAUCCGUGGCUGUGUGUGACAGAAGGCCCCCCUGUAUUCACAGCCUGCACACUACUGCCCUGGCCCCCGCAAAGGGGAGGGGAAAGGAAUGUGCAGACCCUGCGAAGCCUGAGUUGCAGGAGGGAUUCCUCAGCAAGAGAAGAAUUCACACACGAGUCCAUUAAAACAAAUGAACUCACGGAUUCACUGGGAAAAGUUCCGUCCCUUCCAGCCGUCUUUGAAAAGCCUUGUGGCCACAGGUUAGAUGUUUGUACAAAUUGAAAGUGCAAUGUCCUUCAAACUGAAGGAAACGAGACUCCCUGAAAUAGACACCAAACAUCUUCCAAGCCGUGUUACAUUAGUGAAUCCCUAUAUAUCAGUGCAAGGAUUUCAAAAAACAAGACAAACGUCAUUUAUUGCUGAAAAAAGAAAC